CCAACGGCCCUCUUUAGGGCCACAAAUGACAAUAAUCCUAUUUUUU
rnacentral:ncRNA from 14 species